AUGAACGCUGGCGGCGUGCCUAAUACAUGCAAGUCGAGCGAACAGACGAGGAGCUUGCUCCUCUGACGUUAGCGGCGGACGGGUGAGUAACACGUGGAUAACCUACCUAUAAGACUGGGAUAACUUCGGGAAACCGGAGCUAAUACCGGAUAAUAUAUUGAACCGCAUGGUUCAAUAGUGAAAGACGGUUUUGCUGUCACUUAUAGAUGGAUCUGCGCCGCAUUAGCUAGUUGGUAAGGUAACGGCUUACCAAGGCAACGAUGCGUAGCCGACCUGAGAGGGUGAUCGGCCACACUGGAACUGAGACACGGUCCAGACUCCUACGGGAGGCAGCAGUAGGGAAUCUUCCGCAAUGGGCGAAAGCCUGACGGAGCAACGCCGCGUGAGUGAUGAAGGUCUUCGGAUCGUAAAACCCUGUUAUUAGGGAAGAACAAAUGUGUAAGUAACUAUGCACGUCUUGACGGUACCUAAUCAGAAAGCCACGGCUAACUACGUG
rnacentral:rRNA from 1 species